rnacentral:rRNA from 1 species
AACGAACGCUGGCGGCAGGCCUAACACAUGCAAGUCGAGCGAUCCUUGGGGAUAGCGGCGGACGGGUGAGUAACACGUGGGUAACCUACCUAUAAGACUGGGAUAACUUCGGGAAACCGGAGCUAAUACCGGAUAACAUUUGGAACCGCAUGGUUCUAAAGUGAAAGAUGGUUUUGCUAUCACUUAUAGAUGGACCCGCGCCGUAUUAGCUAGUUGGUAAGGUAACGGCUUACCAAGGCGACGAUACGUAGCCGACCUGAGAGGGUGAUCGGCCACACUGGAACUGAGACACGGUCCAGACUCCUACGGGAGGCAGCAGUAGGGAAUCUUCCGCAAUGGGCGAAAGCCUGACGGAGCAACGCCGCGUGAGUGAUGAAGGGUUUCGGCUCGUAAAACUCUGUUAUUAGGGAAGAACAAAUGUGUAAGUAACUAUGCACGUCUUGACGGUACCUAAUCAGAAAGCCACGGCUAACUACGUGCCAGCAGCCGCAGUAACAC